rnacentral:rRNA from 1 species
GUGGGGAAUAUUGGACAAUGGGCGAAAGCCUGAUCCAGCCAUGCCGCGUGUGUGAAGAAGGUCUUCGGAUUUUAAAGCACUUUAAGUUGGGAGGAAGGGCAUUAACCUAAUACGUUAGUGUUUUGACGUUACCGACAGAAUAAGCACCGGCUAACUUCGUGCCAGCAGCCGCGGUAAUACGAAGGGUGCAAGCGUUAAUCGGAAUUACUGGGCGUAAAGCGCGCGUAGGUGGUUCGUUAAGUUGGAUGUGAAAGCCCCGGGCUCAACCUGGGAACUGCAUCCAAAACUGGCGAGCUAGAGUACGGUAGAGGGUGGUGGAAUUUCCUGUGUAGCGGUGAAAUGCGUAGAUAUAGGAAGGAACACCAGUGGCGAAGGCGACCACCUGGACUGAUACUGACACUGAGGUGCGAAAGCGUGGGGAGCAAACAGGAUUAGAUACCCUUGUAGUCC